rnacentral:lncRNA from 1 species
GGUCAUGAACUUAUGGUGGCCUCUAGUGCUCUCUAAAGCCAAUGCUAAUGGGUUUCACCUUACUACACACAAAGUUGGUUUAUUCCAAGUCUUAGGCCAUAAUGGAUCACCUAGAUUAGAACUUCUUACUACUCUCAUCACAUCCAUCACUCAUCUCUAAUUGAGAAUGAAUGAUCAUUAUUGUGUUAGGAUAACCCCUAAGAUUAAGCUUCCUACAUUCAUACCAACAACACUUUGAUACCAC